rnacentral:rRNA from 1 species
AUUGAACGCUGGCGGCAGGCCUAACACAUGCAAGUCGAACGAGUGGCGGACGGGUGAGUAAUGUCUGGGAAACUGCCCGAUGGAGGGGGAUAACUACUGGAAACGGUAGCUAAUACCGCAUACCAUCGGAUGUGCCCAGAUGGGCUUAGCUAGUAGGUGGGGUAACGGCUCACCUAGGCGACGAUCCCUAGCUGGUCUGAGAGGAUGACCAGCUACACUGGAACUGUGACACGGUCCAGACGCCUACGGGAGGCAGCAGUGGGGAAUAGUGCACAAUGGGCGCAAGCCUGAUGCAGCCAGGCCGGGUGUAUGAAGAAGGCCUUCGGGUUGUAAAGUACUUUCAGCGAGGAGGCGUUACUCGCAGAAGAAGCACCGGCUAACUCCGUGCCAGCAGCCGCGGUAAUUG